UACGGGGGGAGCAAGCGUUGUUCGGAUUUACUGGGCGUAAAGGGCGCGUAGGCGGCCACCGCAAGUCGGUUGUGAAAUCUCCGGGCUUAACCCGGAAAGGUCAAUCGAUACUGCGGGGCUAGAGUGCAGAAGGGGCAACUGGAAUUCUCGGUGUAGCGGUGAAAUGCGUAGAUAUCGAGAGGAACACCUGCGGCGAAGGCGGCAUCCUGGACCGACACUGACUCUGAGGCGCGAAAGCUAGGGUAGCAAACGGG
rnacentral:rRNA from 1 species